UGAAUGAACUUACAAUAAUUGGAAAUAAUUAGAAGAAAACGCCUUCUUGGCUGUCUUUCAGGAUGGUCAGAAGAACGAUCAUGGGGGAAGAAAAAUAAUGUGUUCAAUAUCUCACAGCAGGCUCACCGGAUCCUGCAAGCACAGGCAAAACCCAUUUAAAGAUGGAGCUUGGGCCGGGCGCGGUGGCUCACGCCUGUAGUCCCAGCACUUCUGGAGGCUGAGGGGAGGACACCUUUCCUUAGCUGAAGGAUCCAGUUUCCACUAUUCACUCCCUCUCCUUGACCCCAACAAGGAAGAAUGCUAUUCUUCUUGGAAAGGGCCCUUCCAGGGAUCUCCCAGCACAGUUGAAUUUAGCAACAUUAAGCUUGGCAGAUAAACGAGACAUCUUUCAU